UGGGGAAUAUUGCACAAUGGGCGCAAGCCUGAUGCAGCAACGCCGCGUGAGGGACGACGGCCUUCGGGUUGUAAACCUCUUUUAGUAGGGAAGAAGCGAAAGUGACGGUACCUGCAGAAAAAGCACCGGCUAACUACGUGCCAGCAGCCGCGGUAAUACGUAGGGUGCGAGCGUUGUCCGGAAUUAUUGGGCGUAAAGAGCUCGUAGGCGGUCUGUCGCGUCUGCUGUGAAAACCCGAGGCUCAACCUCGGGCCUGCAGUGGGUACGGGCAGACUAGAGUGCGGUAGGGGAGAAUGGAAUUCCUGGUGUAGCGGUGGAAUGCGCAGAUAUCAGGAGGAACACCGAUGGCGAAGGCAGUUCUCUGGGCCGUAACUGACGCUGAGGAGCGAAAGCGUGGGGAGCGAACAGGAUUAGAUACCCUGGUAGUCCACACCGUAAACGUUGGGCGCUAGAUGUGGGGACCAUUCCACGGUUUCCGUGUCGCAGCUAACGCAUUAAGCGCCCCGCCUGGGGAGUACGGCCGCAAGGCU
rnacentral:rRNA from 1 species